rnacentral:rRNA from 1 species
AACAACGGGUACGGGUUGUGAGAGCAAGAGCCCGGAGAUGGAUUCUGAGACAUGAAUCCAGGCCCUACGGGGCGCAGCAGGCGCGAAAACUUUACAAUGCGGGAAACCGUGAUAAGGGGACACCGAGUGCCAGCGUCAUACGCUGGCUGUCCAGGUGUGUAAAAUACACCUGUUAGCAAGGGCCGGGCAAGACCGGUGCCAGCCGCCGCGGUAACACCGGCGGCCCGAGUGGUGAUCGUGAUUAUUGGGUCUAAAGGGUCCGUAGCCGGUUUGGUCAGUCCUCCGGGAAAUCUGAUAGCUCAACUAUUAGGCUUUCGGGGGAUACUGCCAGGCUUGGAACCGGGAGAGGUAAGAGGUACUACAGGGGUAGGAGUGAAAUCUUGUAAUCCCUGUGGGACCACCUGUGGCGAAGGCGUCUUACCAGAACGGGUUCGACGGUGAGGGACGAAAGCUGGGGGCACGAACCGGAUUAGAUACCCGGGUAGUCCCAGCCGUAAACGAUGCUCGCUAGGUGUCAGGCAUGGCGCGACCGUGUCUGGUGCCG